CAGUCGAGCGGUAACAGGGGGUGCUUGCACCCCGCUGACGAGCGGCGGACGGGUGAGUAAUGCAUAGGAAACUGCCCAGUAGUGGGGGAUAGCCCGGGGAAACCCGGAUUAAUACCGCGUACGCCCUUCGGGGGAAAGCAGGGGAUCUUCGGACCUUGCGCUAUUGGAUGUGCCUAUGUCGGAUUAGCUAGUUGGUGGGGUAAAGGCCUACCAAGGCGACGAUCCGUAGCUGGUCUGAGAGGAUGAUCAGCCACAUCGGGACUGAGACACGGCCCGAACUCCUACGGGAGGCAGCAGUGGGGAAUAUUGGACAAUGGGGGCAACCCUGAUCCAGCCAUGCCGCGUGUGUGAAGAAGGCUUUCGGGUUGUAAAGCACUUUCAGUGAGGAGGAAAAGUUGGUCGUUAAUACCGGCCAGCCUUGACGUUACUCACAGAAGAAGCACCGGCUAACUCCGUGCCAGCAGCCGCGGUAAUACGGAGGGUGCAAGCGUUAAUCGGAAUUACUGGGCGUAAAGCGCGCGUAGGUGGUUUGAUAAGCGAGAUGUGAAAGCCCCGGGCUUAACCUGGGAACGGCAUUUCGAACUGUCAGGCUAGAGUAUGGUAGAGGAGUGUGGAAUUUCCUGUGUAGCGGUGAAAUGCGUAGAUAUAUGAAGGAACACCAGUGGCGAAGGCGGCACUCUG
rnacentral:rRNA from 1 species